UAGCUCAGAGGGUAAAGCGUCUGCCUGCAGUGCAGAAGACCAGGGAUCAACCCCUG
rnacentral:tRNA from 1 species